rnacentral:misc_RNA from 1 species
GAUGAAGAACGCAGCGAAAUGCGAUAAGUAAUGUGAAUUGCAGAAUUCAGUGAAUCAUCGAAUCUUUGAACGCAUCUUGCGCUCCUUGGUAUUCUGAGGAGCAUGCCUGUCCGAGCGUCAUUGCUGCCCUCAAGCACGGCUUGUGUGUUGGGCCUCCGUCCUCCUCCCGGGGGACGGGCCCGAAAGGCAGCGGCGGCACCGCGUCCGGUCCUCGAGCGUAUGGGGCUUCGUCACCCGCUCUUGUAGGCCCGGCCGGCGCUUGCCGACACAUCAAUCUUUUUUCCAGGUUGACCUCGGAUCAGGUAGGGAUACCCGCUGAACUUAAGCAUAUCAAUAAGCGGAGGA